UAGGGAAUCUUCGGCAAUGGGGGCAACCCUGACCGAGCAACGCCGCGUGAGUGAAGAAGGUCUUCGGAUCGUAAAGCUCUGUUGUAAGAGAAGAACGUGUGUGAGAGUGGAAAGUUCACACAGUGACGGUAACUUACCAGAAAGGGACGGCUAACUACGUGCUAG
rnacentral:rRNA from 1 species